rnacentral:tRNA from 1 species
AGCCCCUUAGCUCAGAGGCAGAGCAGCGCCCUUACAAGGCGACGGUCGAGAUCUCGGAAUUCUCAGGGGCUACCA